AGUGAACGCUGGCGGUAGGCCUAACACAUGCAAGUCGAACGGCAGCACAGUAAGCGCUUGCUCUUACGGGUGGCGAGUGGCGGACGGGUGAGGAAUACAUCGGAAUCUACUUUUUCGUGGGGGGUAACGUAGGGAAACUUACGCUAAUACCGCAUACGACGUACGGGUGAAAGCAGGGGAUCUUCGGCCCUUGCGCGAUUGAAUGAGCCGAUGUCGGAUUAGCUAGUUGGCGGGGUAAAGGCCCACCAAGGCGACGAUCCGUAGCUGGUCUGAGAGGAUGAUCAGCCACACUGGAACUGAGACACGGUCCAGACUCCUACGGGAGGCAGCAGUGGGGAAUAUUGGACAAUGGGCGCAAGCCUGAUCCAGCCAUGCCGCGUGUGUGAAGAAGGCCUUCGGGUUGUAAAGCCCUUUUGUUGGGAAAGAAAAGCAGCAGGUUAAUACCCCGCUGUGCUGACGGUACCCAAAGAAUAAGCACCGGCUAACUUCGUG
rnacentral:rRNA from 1 species